rnacentral:pre_miRNA from 2 species
GCAUCCGGGUUGAGGUAGUAGGUUGUAUGGUUUAGAGUUACACCCUGGGAGUUAACUGUACAACCUUCUAGCUUUCCUUGGAGCA